UCCCUCUUUCUUUAUGCUAUAACCUUUGUGUGUUCGGUUCAAUUCUUUGUCCUCGAUCACUAAGAACCUGGUUACCUGUGCACACCUGUGACAGUUUUUGGCGAGCCAGCCAGCAGAAGACACCGGAGUGACUUAAGCAGUUCCACGUCAAACUGAUGACGCUCCAAGGUUUCCAACCAAUCCCUGAGAACGAUGUCGAAGCUGACCAACAUACAGCAUCUGCGGUGGCCUCAGGAAUUCCUCUUCAACCUCUAGAUAGAAUAGGGUGAGAGUUCCGUGAUUCUCAAUAGGCAGGGUCUACUGUCCAAUCUAAGCCUGAAGCAGCUAUGGAAGACGGAUCUUCAUCCUUCAACAACCCCAAAAAGAUUUUUGAGAACCAUGUCUCUCAGGGAGAAGUUGAGGCAGGAGAUAGUCAGGAAGGAAGCUCCAGAGGCCCCACAGGGCUGAGGU